rnacentral:lncRNA from 1 species
ACAAGAAAUUCAAGUCAAGGGAAUUGUUAUGGAGUAAAUGUUUGUGUCUCCUCCAGAUUCAUAUGUGAAGCCCUAACCCCCAUCGUGAUGGUAUUAGGAGAUGCAGCUCUUGAGAUGUAAUGAAGGUGAGCACACAGCAAGAAGGUAGCUGUCUGCAAGCUGGGAAGAGAGACCUAACCAAAACUUAACCACGCUGGCACCCUGAUCUCAGAAACUCAGUCUCCAGAACUGUGAGAAAAUAAAUGUCUGUUGUUUAAGCCA